rnacentral:rRNA from 1 species
GACGAACGCUGGCGGCGUGCUUAACACAUGCAAGUCGAACGGAAAGGCCCUGCUUUUGUGGGGUGCCCGAGUGGCGAACGGGUGAGUAACACGUGAGUAACCUGCCCUUGACUUUGGGAUAACUUCAGAAAACUGGGGCUAAUACCGGAUAGGAGCUCCUGCUGCAUGGUGGGGGUUGGAAAGUUUCGGCGGUUGGGGAUGGACUCGCGGCUUAUCAGCUUGUUGGUGGGGUAGUGGCUUACCAAGGCUUUGACGGGUAGCCGGCCUGAGAGGGUGACCGGCCACAUUGGGACUGAGAUACGGCCCAGACUCCUACGGGAGGCAGCAGUGGGGAAUAUUGCACAAUGGGCGGAAGCCUGAUGCAGCAACGCCGCGUGCGGGAUGACGGCCUUCGGGUUGUAAACCGCUUUCGCCUGUGACGAAGCGUGAGUGACGGUAAUGGGUAAAGAAGCACCGGCUAACUACGUG